rnacentral:rRNA from 1 species
GACAGGUGGUGCAUGGUUGUCGUCAGCUCGUGUCGUGAGAUGUUGGGUUAAGUCCCGCAACGAGCGCAACCCCUAUUGUUAGUUGCCAUCAUUCAGUUGGGCACUCUAGCGAGACUGCCGGUAAUAAACCGGAGGAAGUGGGGAUGACGUCAAAUCAUCAUGCCCCUUAUGACCUGGGCUACACACGUGCUACAAUGGUUGGUACAACGAGUUGCGAGUCGGUGACGGCGAGCUAAUCUCUUAAAGCCAAUCUCAGUUCGGAUUGUAGGCUGCAACUCGCCUACAUGAAGUCGGAAUCGCUAGUAAUCGCGGAUCAGCACGCCGCGGUGAAUACCGUUCCCGGGCCUU